rnacentral:rRNA from 1 species
UAGAGGUCCGCCUGCCUGUGACUAUACGUUUAACGGCCGCGGUAUUUUGACCGUGCGAAGGUAGCGCAAUCACUUGUCUUUUAAAUGGAGACCUGUAUGAAUGGCAUAACGAGGGCUUAACUGUCUCCUUUUUCAAGUCAAUGAAAUUGAUCUUCCCGUGCAGAAGCGGGAAUGCGAACAUAAGACGAGAAGACCCUAUGGAGCUUUAGACACCAAGGCAGAUUACGUUAAAAACUCCUGUACAAAGGACCAAACAAGACUACCGCUGCCCUAAUGUCUUUGGUUGGGGCGACCGCGGGGAAAUAAAAACCCCCCACGUGGAAUGGGAACACCCAUCCUACAACUAAGAGCUCCCGCUCUAAGUACCAGAAUUUCUGACCAAACAGAUCCGGCAACGCCGAUCAACGAACCGAGUUACCCUAGGGAUAACAGCGCAAUCCCCUUCUAGAGUCCAUAUCGACAAGGGGGUUUACGACCUCGAUGUUGGAUCAGGACAUCCUAAUGGUGCAGCCGCUAUUAAGGGUUCGUUUGUUCAACGAUUAAAGUCCUACGUGAUCUG